rnacentral:lncRNA from 1 species
UCUUCCUCUAAGAACCAAGAAAAUGCAGCAGCCCUUCACUCCUUCACUCCAUUGACGCCACUCUAGCUCCACCUUCAACCAUCUUCUUGGUCCAUUUUGCAUCGUAGUUGUCUGUUUGAAAACCCAAUAAAACCAAGCUAGAAAACUCCAUGAAAAUACUUUUGCCUUGACUCCAAAUGUAGCUGAAAAACAGUCUCAGAAACGCAGCCAUAACAGCACCCGAAAACAAGCAAACACGCUGCUAGUUCGCCUCUCGAAACAGCUACGAAAUCAACAAUAAACCAUCACAAAUUUCAGCUCAAAUCUCACCCCAAAAUUGCAGCAAAACCAGCUGCGAAAACAGACAAGAGGAGCAGCGAAAAUCAGCUGCAAAACAGCAAAAAAUGCUGCCAAAAAUAACCCGAAACAACAGCUCCAAACACUAAAACACAAGAGUUUCAGUCGAGGUUCGAAGCUCCGUGGCGGUCCUGUUCGUUUUUGGGUCUUAAAGUUGUCAAACAACCAAGGUUCAAAUUCAUUUUUUCAAGGUUAGAUUCUUACUCUUGUCUUCUUUCCAAAUUUUGUGUAGUAAAUUUUGAUGAAAUGAAGUUAUAUGGUACAUGAAUGUUUCUGUCCUCUCUAUGAGGCUGUUAAGCUGGAUAUCAGUUCUGCAGUGUGUUUGUUAUGAAUAUCCAUACCUUUUCUUAUUUGAGUAUAAAACAGAGUACUGGAAAUAGUUGUUAAGAUUUCUGCUCGUUGAUGAAUUAAUUCAUUUACUUAAUUUCUGAAAUCCGUCGCGAUUCCUUGCUUAAGGUUGGUUCGAUCGAGUUCUCUUUGGUGUUAAGGCAGUAACUAUGUCCCAAAAUACUCUUUGUCGAUUUGCCAUUUCUAUUGUCGUGUAGUGCCGAAGUCAUGACUCCACUGUAUUAGAAUCUAUAGACAUCUUUGGUGGAAGUUUUUGAGCAGUUUAGUUUGUCUCCUCCCUUUCUGAUUAGCAUACGGACUGAAACGCGUAAAAAUAAUUUGGAACCUCGUUCCUACCAUGCCCGAGAUAAUUAUUGUUACUCUUUAACUAAGAAUAUUAGUAUAAUAUCUGUGAUUAAUGUUGUUUUAAACAUGUGUUCUUCUCUGUUAAAGUUCAAGUGUUAAUAAGCUGGGGCGGACCCACAUGUGUUCUUCGCAAAAAAAUUCAUUAUUUUAUGUGGAAAAUAUUUUCUUAAACAACACAAUAUCGGAUAAGUAUAUUAAGUUGAACCUGUUUGACAGAAACAAUAGUUGGUCGAGUUGGUUUAAGCGGGUUCAGGAAGUAGGUGAGGUGUCGAGUUGGUUCCUGCUCUUUAUUUUUCCAAAAGCAUGUUAUAAUUCAUUUGAACUGUUUUGCUUACCUCCUCAUUGUAGCCCCUCACUGUUUUUUUUUUCUUAAUUAUUAUUUAAUUUAGCUAAUUUUCAUAGUUUCAAAUUCUGAUACUAUUAAAAUUAUAACUCUAUUUUAGUUUAUAUUUUUAUUCUAUUGUUAUUAUUUUUUCAUAAAUUGUUUAUUAUAAUGAAUAUUUCAGCAGUUGUUAAUCUGUUAGAUUUAAUCAAUAAAUAGAGUUGUUGUUUUGGUAUAGAUUGAAUUGAUUUGGUAACGUAAUAUUCAAAAAAAGUUCAAUAAAUUGUUAAAUUUGAAAAAGUAAAUAGAUAUGUUGUUCACUUUUAUUAUUUUCAUUUUUUUAAGAGCUCAAUAGAAAAAUGAGGUCUUGAAUAGAGCCAUCAAUAUGGGCUUGGCUCGUUGGGCCAGCCCAGCCCGUGAUUUAGCAGGGGUGGACUAGAAUUUUUAGAGCCUGUUUAAAAAUGAGGCUUUUAAGCCCGGCCCGAGUAAGCCCGUGGCCCGUGAGGCUUGACUGAGGCUGGGCCGGGCCGGCCCGUGGGCCUAAUAAAAUAUUUAUUUAAAAUAUAUAAAAAAUAAAAAGUAUACUGCCUUAUAGAGAUGGAAAGUCAGAAUUGGAUCUUUACUAAGAGGAACCAAAACUUGAUCUUGAGAAGUUUCAAGAGAUGAUGUUGUCAUAUAUUGGAAGGACCAUUCUAGAAAAUAUCCCAAUCUUUCAAUGAUGGUACGUGAUGUACUUAGCAUUCUUAUUACCAUUGUACCAUCGGAAUCAACAUUUAGCAUUGGUGGCGUGUUCUUACAAAGUACAGAAGUUGCAUUUAUUAUGAAAAUGUCCAAACACUUGUUACUAUUCGAAAUUGGUUGCACAAGUUUUUCCGAACUCAAACUGGUAAUAAUUUUUAUGUGAAAUUAAAUAUUAUUAAUUUUUAAAAUUUAAUUAUUUUUAAUAUUUAACUAAUUAAUAUUGCAUAUGAAUUGUAGAUGAAAGUGAAGAUGUUAAUUAAGACAACCUUGUCACAAGCGGAUUCAAAUGUGUUUGAUGAAGA